GGACCAUUGGUAUAUGGGUAUUAUGCUGGACUGUCUAUCCGGCGAAACGGGUCCGAGUCCCGUAUGGUCCGCCA
rnacentral:tRNA from 1 species